UGUUUUACAGGUUGCCAGUGUAACAUUCGACUUGCUGUUGCUUCUAGUGUUGGGAUCGUGUUUAAUUGUGCUUUUCAGCUUUCUUGUCAUAACAACUUGGGUAUUAAUCUUUCUCCAUAUCAAGCUUGAAGUUCUAAAUUUCAGUUUUAUCUUGUAUUUGAUGUUUUAUAAUUUCAUUGCAAACAGAUUAGAAUAGAAACUUCAAAAGUUCCAACUGACUAGUCCCGUGUAACUUUUUCAGGGAAUAUUUUUGAACGUGAAGAACUAGCUUAAUUUUUUUUAUGUUACUUUCUUACCCUAUCUUUGUAUAACUCCGAGCGAGAUUCACGAAGAUUGAAUCCUGCCUACGAUUACGGCGAGCAAUUUAGCAGUGAGGCAACCGAGGUCGUUUACAUAUUCAUUUUCAUCUAGGUUAACAUGAGCUCCAUUUGCGUUGAUUUAAUAUGUUAUUUGAUAAAAGAAAUUGAAUUCAUGACUUACUCUGAAUGUAACAUAAGCUCCAUUUGCGCUGAUUUAAUAUGUUAUUUGAUAAAAGAAAAUUGAAUUCAUGACUUA
rnacentral:lncRNA from 1 species